rnacentral:rRNA from 1 species
GUGUCAGCCGCCGCGGUAAUACGUAGGUGGCAAGCGUUGUCCGGAUUUAUUGGGCGUAAAGAGCGCGCAGGCGGUUUGUUAAGUCCGAGGUGAAAUCUCCCGGCUCAACUGGGAGGGGUCUUCGGAUACUGGCCGACUUGAGGAGAGCAGAGGUGAGUGGAAUUCUCGGUGUAGUGGUGAAAUGCGUAGAUAUCGAGAGGAACACCAGCGGCGAAGGCGGCUCACUGGGCUCCACCUGACGCUGAGGCGCGAAAGCGUGGGGAGCGAACCGGAUUAGAAACCCCAGUAGUCC